rnacentral:rRNA from 1 species
GACGAACGCUGGCGGCGUGCUUAACACAUGCAAGUCGAACGGAAAGGCCCUGCUUUUGUGGGGUGCUCGAGUGGCGAACGGGUGAGUAACCCGUGAGUAACCUGCCCUUGACUUUGGGAUAACUUCAGGAAACUGGGGCUAAUACCGGAUCGGAGCUCCUGCUGCAUGGUGGGGGUUGGAAAGUUUCGGCGGUUGGGGAUGGACUCGCGGCUUAUCAGCUUGUUGGUGGGGUAGUGGCUUACCAAGGCUUUGACGGGUAGCCGGCCUGAGAGGGUGACCGGCCACAUUGGGACUGAGAUACGGCGCAGACUCCUACGGGAGGCAGCAGUGGGGAAUAUUGCACAAUGGGCGGAAGCCUGAUGCAGCAACGCCGCGUGCGGGAUGACGGCCUUCGGGUUGUAAACCGCUUUCGCCUGUGACGAAGCGUGAGUGACGGUAAUGGGUAAAGAAGCACCGGCUAACUACGUG